rnacentral:rRNA from 1 species
AACGAACGCUGGCGGCAUGCCUAACACAUGCAAGUCGAACGAGACCUUCGGGUCUAGUGGCGCACGGGUGCGUAACGCGUGGGAACCUGCCCUUAGGUUCGGAAUAACUCCCCGAAAGGGGUGCUAAUACCGGAUAAUGUCUUCGGACCAAAGAUUUAUUGCCUUUGGAUGGGCCCGCGUUGGAUUAGCUAGUUGGUAGGGUAAAAGCCUACCAAGGCGACGAUCCAUAGCUGGUCUGAGAGGAUGAUCAGCCACACUGGGACUGAGACACGGCCCAGACUCCUACGGGAGGCAGCAGUGGGGAAUAUUGGACAAUGGGCGAAAGCCUGAUCCAGCAAUGCCGCGUGAGUGAUGAAGGCCUUAGGGUUGUAAAGCUCUUUUACCCGGGAUGAUAAUGACAGUACCGGGAGAAUAAGCUCCGGCUAACUCCGCG